UUGUUCCUGGUAGGAGUGGAAGAAUGGCAAUGGGCAAAAACGGCGGGCCUUUUGUUCAAACGAACGAACGAUGGGAGAAGAGAAGCAAGCAGGCAGGACGACGAGGCAGAGAAAGCAAAAGCAGCACGUAGCAAGCCAAGCCAACGUUGCUUUGUUUUCAGUUUCAGCCAUCAGUCCACGCUUUCUCCUCUGCUUUGUCUCCCCCCUUUGCUCCCUCUGCUCUUCCGCGAAUAGUAUUGACGAAUCAUGAGUGUUCGUGAGCGUAUCGCGCAUGGGGCCUAUGAAUUCUGAACUCCUCAUGCCCGCCUGCCUGCCGCCAGGGGCUUUCGAAAACCCAUGCUGCAUGCACGCAGAUGGACAUAAUUAGCGCCCGGCAGAGUUCAGAUGAUCAUGCCUGUCUCCUGCCCGUGCCGGCGCUGUCUCGCUUUCCAUUCCCCGACAUUGCCUUCUCUCUAGGAUAGGAGCUACUACUGCACAGUAGAGCAGUUCAAGUAGUGCAUAAAGCUUGUGCUCAAGUCCCAGUAGCGGCAACAAGAACUUGCACGCUUUAAGGUCGCCCCUCCAAGCUCACACACGAGAAGCUCGAGUCGGAGUUGUAGAUAGCAAGAAGCCAAGAAGCCAGUCAUGGGAUGGGGAAGCAGGAAACAGCAGCACGGGACGCCGUCACGCGCGUCGGAGCAAGGAGAGUCCGGCGAGCGCAAGGGCAGUGGCAAGAGCAAGGCCUUCCCCUUCUCUUUCUCCCCGCUCUCGUGGCUCUCCAAGCUCGCCGCGAAGCCCAAGCGCACGCCUGCGUCCACGCACGAGGGCCGCGGAGCCGGUGCGAGUGCCGCUGCCGCCGCCCCGCCGUUCAAGUCGGCCCUUCCCGAGCGCGUCAGCCCGGCUAAGGUGGUGAUUGCGCCGGCGGGCCGGCUCAGCUCGCCCUCGCCGCGUCGCUCUCCCGCUGUUCUGCGGCGGCUCUUUGUUGGCAACGACAACGCGGAGGCCGUGGCCGCGCGCGGGCGCCAUCGCCCUGCCGCAGCCGUCGCCGCCGCCGAAGAAGUCGUACCAAGGCGGCUCUCUGUUGGCAACGACAGCGCCGACGCCGUCGCCCCGCGCCGGCACUGCAGACCUCGGCGCCACUGCUCCGUCGGCGGCGACCGUGACCUCCAGGCGCCGCUCGGCAAACACAUCCCCUUCUCCCUCGCUGGCUCCCCAGCGCAGCCACGGCCUCCUCCACAGGCGGCAGCAGCCGCGGCACCGUCGGACACGGACGGCGGGGGCGCUCGGCUGAGGCGUCGGCACCGUGGCCGCCGGCACUGGCGCAGCGUCAGCGGCGGCCGGAGAUCGUCGUUCUCCGGAAAGGUGACGCUGCGGGUGAAGGUGCGGUCGCCGCGGCGGUCGGCGCCGGAGCUGGAGAGCCUCGCCGUGGUGCGGCGGACGCGGGACCCGCAGCGGGCGUUCAGGGAGUCGAUGUCCGAGAUGAUCGCGAGCAGCGGGGGGACCGACGCCCGGCCGGAGGAGCUGGAGCGGCUGCUGGCGUGCUACCUCGCCCUCAACGCCGACGAGCACCACGACUGCAUCGUCAAGGUCUUCCGCCAGGUCUGGUUCGACCACGUCAACCUGCCGCCGCUUCGACGGGGCAGGGGCCGGGAGGAACACCCCGGACGGCACGCGAGGCCGUAAAUUCUCGAACGCAAGCAGUUGCUGUAUGCAUGUACAUUACGUACGUUUUUAUGCCGGAUUUACCUUAGAAUUUUCGUAAAUCUCUGUCACUCAAAAAUUCUAAAAAAAGGGUUUGCCAGCCUGAAACGCAGAGACAAUUUACCGAGCCACGAUGAAAAUAUUGUAUCAGUUGAUGGAAACAAAUUCUUACAUCCGCCGGAAGCAAUUCCCUCUUCUUUUUUUCUUUCCG